rnacentral:rRNA from 1 species
UACGUAGGGUGCAAGCGUUAAUCGGAAUUACUGGGCGUAAAGCGUGCGCAGGCGGUGAUGUAAGACAGGUGUGAAAUCCCCGGGCUUAGCCUGGGAACUGCAUUUGUGACUGCAUUGCUGGAGUGCGGCAGAGGGGGAUGGAAUUCCGCGUGUAGCAGUGAAAUGCGUAGAUAUGCGGAGGAACACCGAUGGCGAAGGCAAUCCCCUGGGCCUGCACUGACGCUCAUGCACGAAAGCGUGGGGAGCGAACAGG